GGAUCAUUUACACAUGCCUAGUGCAUAAUCCAACCUUAACCUAGAUUGUGUUCCUCAUUUGCAGUAACUGUGAAUGGGGUUUAUUUUACUUGCUUUGAUGUUUAAUUCAUUAUGCAAGCUAAAAUAAAAGAAAAUUUUCAACGAUGGAUAUCUGGGUUCCCAUACCGAUGAAGAACGCAGCGAACUGCGAUAAGCAAUGCGAAUAGCAGAAUUCCGCGAGACAUCAGAUUUUCGAACGCAUCUGGCGCUAAUUUAUUAGCAUGUUUGUUUCAGUGUGUUAGGAGAGCACAACUCAUCAUAUCAGAUGAAUGCGAUUGAAACUUUUGUUUCUCUCGUGAAAUACGAAGUGUGGAGUCUAGAAAUAGCCUCCAAAACGAAGUAGUCACAUUUGAUGUAUCUCGUUUUGGGAUCAAGGCUUUUCUAUAACAGAUUCUCACUAUCAUUAUUUCUCCUUUGUCAACACCUGAAAUCAAGCAAGAUAACCCGCUGAACUUAA
rnacentral:rRNA from 1 species